AAAGUUUUACCGGAUCCCAGCAGACAUUGCUUCACAGAAAUCAAGAAGACAAUUGUGGUUGAAUGCAAUACGGCAUACAGACUAGACGGAGACGAUCAUAAAUAAUGCUCUUGUUUGCAGUGCACACUUCAUAUCAGCCUUUAAACAUCUAAACAUGUCCUCCAAAAAGGUUUCCUGUGCUGUUUUGCUCCAUUUUACAGAACAAAAUAAGGCUGAGGUAGCACCAUCCUUGUGGUUAGAGUGAAAGAAUGUGG